rnacentral:rRNA from 1 species
CCUACGGGAGGCAGCAGUGAGGAAUAUUGGUCAAUGGACGAGAGUCUGAACCAGCCAAGUAGCGUGAAGGAUGACUGCCCUAUGGGUUGUAAACUUCUUUUAUAUGGGAAUAAAAUGUUCCACGUGUGGGAUUUUGUAUGUACCAUAUGAAUAAGGAUCGGCUAACUCCGUGCCAGCAGCCGCGGUAAUACGGAGGAUCCGAGCGUUAUCCGGAUUUAUUGGGUUUAAAGGGAGCGUAGGUGGAUUGUUAAGUCAGUUGUGAAAGUUUGCGGCUCAACCGUAAAAUUGCAGUUGAAACUGGCAGUCUUGAGUACAGUAGAGGUGGGCGGAAUUCGUGGUGUAGCGGUGAAAUGCUUAGAUAUCACGAAGAACUCCGAUUGCGAAGGCAGUUCACUGGACUGCAACUGACACUGAGGCUCGAAAGUGUGGGUAUCAAACAGGAUUAGAUACCCGAGUAGUA